AUCCUUGGCAAGGGGGAAGGCCAGUGAACACAGAGCUGUCAAUUACUUUACCUUCAGCAGGCAGAGGGAGUGUGAUCCCAGCUCGGGUGCAGAAGCAAUUCUGAGUAUGAAGGAAUUAACAGGAAAAGUCCCUGGCUCUGAUUAUUGCAGUGCAGCAAGUGGGAGAACACCAGCUAUUCUGAGACACCUGGGUUCGUGCACUAUGCUGAGUGGAAUGAGGGUGCCAGCUUGCCAGUGGUAACCUCGUGAUCUGCUGAUGUCAUCCUCACAAAGCAGCUACUUCUAAAGAGGGACCCCAAUGAAAUGUUAAGGAUUGGUGAUAAUGGACUCCAAAGAGAUCCCCCUCUUUGUCCAGAAGAAGAAUAGUUGCAAUGUGAGGACCUGAGGAUUGGGAAGUGUACAUGGAUAGUUCCCCAUGAAAGAAUACGACAGUCUACAAACUUGCAUGUGUCUCAAAACUCAAAUUGAUGGCUAAACAAAGAGCAAGAAGGAGGACUGUCUGUACUUUCUGGACAGAACUCUGUCUUGUAACCCAAGUACAUGCUGAGGUACUACAAUGAGGAGAGAUUUACAAAUGCCUGCACAUUUAAGAAAGGUCAGGUGAGCUAUUUUUGGUGUAUUGUGUCUUUCCUAUUAGUCAUUUACCUAUGUUUUCCUCCUGAAUA
ensembl:lncRNA